AUUGAACGCUGGCGGCAUGCUUUACACAUGCAAGUCGAACGGCAGCGCUGGCUUCGGCCUGGCGGCGAGUGGCGAACGGGUGAGUAAUACAUAGGAACGUGCCCAGUAGUGGGGGAUAGCUCGGCGAAAGCCGGACUAAUACCGCAUACGACCUGAGGGUGAAAGCGGGGGAUCUUCGGGCCUCGCGCUAUUGGAGCGGCCGAGGGCAGAUUAGCUAGUUGGUGGGGUAAAGGCCUACCAAGGCGACGAUCUGUAGCUGGUCUGAGAGGACGACCAGCCACACUGGGACUGAGACACGGCCCAGACUCCUACGGGAGGCAGCAGUGGGGAAUUUUGGACAAUGGGCGAAAGCCUGAUCCAGCAAUGCCGCGUGUGUGAUGAAGGCCUUCGGGUUGUAAAGCACUUUUGGCGGGAACGAAAAGGACUGUGCCAAUACCACGGUUCGAUGACGGUACCCGCAGAAUAAGCACCGGCUAACUACGUG
rnacentral:rRNA from 1 species